UACGUAGGGGGCAAGCGUUGUCCGGAAUUAUUGGGCGUAAAGCGCACGUAGGCGGUUCGUUAAGUCGGAUGUGAAAGCCCUCGGCUCAACUGAGGAAGUGCACCCGAAACUGGCGAGCUUGAGUACGAAAGAGGAUCGCGGAAUUCCCGGUGUAGAGGUGAAAUUCGUAGAUAUCGGGAGGAACACCGGUGGCGAAGGCGGCGAUCUGGGUCGAUACUGACGCUGAGGUGCGAAAGCGUGGGGAGCAAACAGG
rnacentral:rRNA from 1 species